AAUAUAAAAUUGUAUCUUAAAAUAUUUAUUUUCAGAAUAUGCAAAGAAAUUGGAAAGAAAGCUUGAAGACGCAGCUCGAGAUGGUUUCUCGUCAUCUGUCUAAUUUCCACCAGCUAGGAACCUGUAAAUCAUUUGACAAUUUUUCAAAUGAAGACUUAUCAAAAGAAGAUCUCUAAAGAAUUUCCAAAAUGUUUUUGAAAAACAUUCCUGACAGUUUUUUCUUACUAGUGUAUUUGAAGUACAUUAUUUAUCAAAAUUUGAUGCAUAAAUAAAUUAAACUUAAGGAACGCUCAGCCUUAUAUUUGAAAAGUAAUAAAUUGGAAAUAAAAAAUUGAACAGUAAUAAAUUGGAAAUUCCAAGCUUAUAAUAAAAAAAUAAUAAGAUUGGUGAAAAUAUAAGAUGGAACAUAAAUCUUAAUGGUUGUUUGGUUCCUCACCAAUAAAAAACACGAGAUGCACAUUUUCAGAAUUCAAUUCAGUUCUGGAUUUAUAUUCCUAGAUAAUUUUAUCAUGCGACA